GUGCUCGCUUCGGGAGCACAUAUACUAAAAUUGGAACUAUACAGAGAAGAGUAGCAUGGCCCCUGCGCAAGAUGGGUGAGGUGAAACUUUCAUUA
rnacentral:snRNA from 1 species